rnacentral:rRNA from 1 species
GAUGAACGCUAGCGGCAGGCCUAAUACGUGCAAGUCGGACGGGAUUGAGAAGCUUGCUUUUCAUGAGAGUGGCGCACGGGUGCGUAACACGUAUGUAACCUACCUUAAUCAGGGGGAUAGCCUCUCGAAAGAGAGAUUAACACCGCAUAAAAUCAAUCUAUGGCAUCAUAGAAUGAUCAAAUAAUUAUAGGAUUAAGAUGGGCAUGCGGAACAUUAGCUAGUUGGUAAGGUAACGGCUUACCAAGGCUACGAUGUUUAGGGGAUCUGAGAGGAUGACCCCCCACACUGGUACUGAGACACGGACCAGACUCCUACGGGAGGCAGCAGUAAGGAAUAUUGGUCAACGGGCGCAAGCCUGAACCAGCCAUGCCGCGUGCAGGAAGACGGCCCUACGGGUUGUAAACUGCUUUUGUACCGGAAUAAACCUUUGUAUGUAUACGAAGCUGAAUGUACGGUAAGAAUAAGGAUCGGCUAACUCCGUGCCAGCCGCCGCCGUAA